AACGAACGCUGGCGGCAGGCUUAACACAUGCAAGUCGAGCGCCCCGCAAGGGGAGCGGCAGACGGGUGAGUAACGCGUGGGAAUCUACCGUGCCCUACGGAAUAGCUCCGGGAAACUGGAAUUAAUACCGUAUACGCCCUUUGGGGGAAAGAUUUAUCGGGGUAUGAUGAGCCCGCGUUGGAUUAGCUAGUUGGUGGGGUAAAGGCCUACCAAGGCGACGAUCCAUAGCUGGUCUGAGAGGAUGAUCAGCCACAUUGGGACUGAGACACGGCCCAAACUCCUACGGGAGGCAGCAGUGGGGAAUAUUGGACAAUGGGCGCAAGCCUGAUCCAGCCAUGCCGCGUGAGUGAUGAAGGCCCUAGGGUUGUAAAGCUCCUUCACCGGUGAAGAUAAUGACGGUAACCGGAGAAGAAGCCCCGGCUAACUUCGUGCCAGCCGCCGCGGUAA
rnacentral:rRNA from 1 species